rnacentral:rRNA from 1 species
CCUACGGGAGGCUGCAGUAGGGAAUCUUCCACAAUGGGCGAAAGCCUGAUGGAGCAACGCCGCGUGGGUGAAGAAGGUCUUCGGAUCGUAAAACCCUGUGGUUAGAGAAGAAAGUGCGUGAGAGUAACUGUUCACGUUUCGACGGUAUCUAACCAGAAAGCCACGGCUAACUACGUGCCAGCAUCCGCGGUAAUACGUAGGGGGCAAGCGUUAUCCGGAUUUAUGGGGCGUAAAGGUAACGCAGGCGGUCUUUUAAGUCUGAUGGGAAAGCCUUCGGCAUAACCGGAGUAGUGCAUUGGAAACUGGGAGACUUGAGUGCAGAAGAGGAGAGUGGAACUCCAUGUGUAGCGGUGAAAUGCGUAGAUAUAUGGAAGAACACCAGUGGCGAAAGCGGCUCUCUGGUCUGUAACUGACGCUGAGGUUCGAAAGCGUGGGUAGCAAACAGGAUUAGAUACCCUUGUAGUC